AUUCAGUAAAGAGUCCCAAAUAGGACGAAAUGCGCGUUACCCUGGAU
rnacentral:hammerhead_ribozyme from 1 species